rnacentral:rRNA from 1 species
GACGAACGCUGGCGGCGCGCCUAACACAUGCAAGUCGAGCGAAGCACUCUACUCGAUUUCUUCGGGAUGAAGGUUUAGUGACUGAGCGGGCGUGGGCGAAGGUACGCGUAGGUUAACCGUGCUCAUACAGGGGGAUAACAGUUAGAAAUGACUGCUAAUACCGCAUAAGACCACAGCACCGCAUGGUGCAGGGGUAAAAACUCCGGUGGUAUGAGAUGGAUCCGCGUCUGAUUAGCUAGUUGGUAAGGUAACGGCUUACCAAGGCAACGAUCAGUAGCCGACCUGAGAGGGUGACCGGCCACAUUGGGACUGAGCACGGCCCAA